CAGCUUCAGGACAGUUUGCUUGUGUUGUUUUAAGGCAAACGCGAGCAUAGUAUGUCUGGCUUUUCUGUGCCCCGUCUUGGUGAAGAUAUGGCUGACAUCAAUGAAACUAUUAAUUUCAAUUUAACGAGUGCUGUCCGUCCACAUGUGAUCGAGGAGCUGUUCUGGUCUGCGGUAGGCAUAUGCUCGACAGCAGUUUUGAUGUCUAUUCUUGGAUGUGCCGUUUACUUCUGUGUGGGUCGAAAAAGAAACAGAAGUUCGAGAAACUGGAAAGGUUCGGUAAGAAAAAUGCCUCCAGAUUCAGGAAGACAACUUCAUCGUCCUUCCAAACGCUCCAGUAGAUCUUCCAAAAAAGAUACUUCGGAAGCACAUAAAGGGAAGAAUGUCACUUUCACCAUUUUUCAUGGACGAGAACGCAGUCCUAGUUCAUCUAGGAUCUGUAAGACACCACAGGGAAAUCAAAGCGUGAAAGAAAAUGUGUGUGCUAAGCACGAAUGUGAUUGUAAUCGCACAUCUGCAGACGGCCCCAAGUUUGGAGCGACUGCGAUACCUGAUGGAGCUUAUCUUGGAAUGGAGAUAAACUGCAAUCCCACAUGUACAGAAUUGAGAGAAACUCACAUGGAUUUGGAGAAGAAAGCUUUGCACUUGUGGAAACAGACAAAUAGCGCCCAUGAAAUAAACGUACCGAUGUAUAUUAAUAAUGACAACAGGAGAGAAGUGAAAGUGUGUGACGUCGGUGAAGGUGACAACGUUAGAGUUCCGAAAGCUUAUAAUUAUAUGGUCAUGGGGAUUGUAUGUGAAAACAUGACUCACAAAUGAAUGUUCACAGAGGUUUUUUAAAGACCUCUGUGGACAUUCCUAUUCAUAUUCCCUGAAAAUGACAUGAAGUUUGAAACUGCAGGUGGAAUAUAGCAGAAUGUAGACAGUU